rnacentral:rRNA from 1 species
CGCGUGAAAGUGUGUAGGUUGGGUGUUUAGGAAAAUCCGGACGCCUAAGACUGAGACACGAGACGAGUCACUACGGUGACGAAGUUGCUGACGCUCUGCUUCCAGGAAAAGCCUCUAAGCUUCAGGUAUUGGUGACCGUACCCUAAACCGACACAGGUGGUCAGGUAGAGCAUACCAAGGCGCUUGAGAGAACUCGGCUGAAGGAACUAGGCAAAAUAGUACCGUAACUUCGGGAGAAGGUACGCUCUUGUGUGUGAAGGACUUGCUCCGUAAGCACGUGAGAGUCGCAGUGACCAGCUGGCUGCAACUGUUUAUUAAAAACACAGCACUCUGCAAACACGUAAGUGGACGUAUAGGGUGUGACACCUGCCCGGUGCCGGAAGGUUAAUUGAUGGGGUUAGCGCAAGCGAAGCUCUUGAUCGAAGCCCCGGUAAACGGCGGCCGUAACUAUAACGGUCCUAAGGUAGCGAAAUUCCUUGUCGGGUAAGUUCCGACCUGCACGAAUGGUGUAAUGAUGGCCAGGCUGUCUCCAGCCGAGACUCAGUGAAAUUGAAAUUGCGGUGAAGAUGCCGUAUACCCGCGGCUAGACGGAAAGACCCCGUGAACCUUUACUAUAGCUUGGCACUGAACAUUGACCCUACAUGUGUAGGAUAGGUGGGAGGCUUUGAAGCUGGGACGCUAGUCCUGGUGGAGCCGUCCUUGAAAUACCACCCUUGUAUGUUUGAUGUUCUAACGUAGGUCCCUGAAUCGGGAUUGCGGACAGUGUCUGGUGGGUAGUUUGACUGGGGCGGUCUCCUCCUAAAGCGUAACGGAGGAGCACGAAGGUUGGCUAAGUACGGUCGGACAUCGUACGGUUAGUGUAAUGGUAGAAGCCAGCUUAACUGCGAGACAGACACGUCGAGCAGGUACGAAAGUAGGUCAUAGUGAUCCGGUGGUUCUGUAUGGAAGGGCCAUCGCUCAACGGAUAAAAGGUACUCCGGGGAUAACAGGCUGAUACCGCCCAAGAGUUCAUAUCGACGGCGGUGUUUGGCACCUCGAUGUCGGCUCAUCACAUCCUGGGGCUGAAGUCGGUCCCAAGGGUAUGGCUGUUCGCCAUUUAAAGUGGUACGCGAGCUGGGUUUAGAACGUCGUGAGACAGUUCGGUCCCUAUCUGCCGUGGGCGUUGGAUAAUUGAGUGGAGUUGCUCCUAGUACGAGAGGACCGGAGUGAACGAACCACUGGUGUUCGGGUUGUCAUGCCAAUGGCACUGCCCGGUAGCUAUGUUCGGAACGGAUAACCGCUGAAAGCAUCUAAGCGGGAAGCCGGCCACAAGAUGAGUUAUCCCUUACCCCCUGAGGGUACUAAAGGGUCGUUGGAGACCACAACGUUGAUAGGUGAGGUGUGGAAGCGCUGCGAGGCGUUGAGCUAACUCAUACUAAUUGCCCGAGAGGCUUAACCAUACAACGCCCAAG